GCGCCGGGUAGGGUUGGAGAAAGCAAGUCAUUUGGGGGGAGCAAGGGCGCCCCUCGAAAAGCCCGCGCAAGGCCUGCCGGGCGCCUCUCCGGCCCGCGCGGCCAGCGGAGUGGCUGGAUUAUGUAAGUAACCGCCACCAUGUGCUAGCCACCAUCUGUUAAUAUCUUGGUAUUGGAAAGUUCGGUGCCUGAGGCAAAGCCAGGGUUGGCGGCGAAGAGAGAUCCCAGCCUCCGAGUACUACUCGGGCAGGAAGGCAGCUCCCUGGGUGAUAUCCGUCCACGUCCGUAGAGUCGGGGCACCGUGACUUGAGACCACGGACACCCUCUCUCCCACCGCGGGCGGGCGUCUGUGGGAGGCGAGUGAUUCUCUUCGAGGUCACCUUAUCACGAACCCCUGCUUCCGAUGAAUUUUUACUUUUCUGACCAUUCUGCGCUCCUUUAGUGUCUUUUAAGAAAGAGCCGGAGGGGAGACGUCCUGGCGAAGGCCGCUUAGCCCCACACCUGAUGCAGGAGAGAGAAGGUGCGAGCGGACUGAGAAGGAACAGAUCGGCUUCCAGAUAAAUAAGCAAAGGCAGCCUGCACGGAGAGGGCUGCUUAGAGACCGCUCGCGACUUGCGCUAACUUUCAAGUUACUGAGAUUGUGUGAGCCAAGCGCAGACGGCGGAAGGGCUGCGAGGACCUGAGCCCGGCAUGUGGCCUCGCAGAUGGAGCCAAUAUCGAGGCCACUUCUCUUCUCUGGCUGACGGAUCGCUUCUUCCCAACCGAAAACCGUCGCCGAGAUAGAGGCUUGGGCCUCGCGCCUUGCUCCGGGGCCGCCGAAGCCCUGACAGCGCCCCUGGCCGGAGAGGAGAGGUCGCCAGGAGCCUGGCCCGCACGUCGCCUCGCCGGGCCGGGCAGGAAAAGGACGUCUCGGAGGUGGCAGCACGCGGAGCUGGACUCCAGACGAGCUCGCUCCAGCCCAUUUCAACCCUCGGCUCCGGCUCCUGCGCCCUGAGGUGGGCUGCUA
ensembl:lncRNA